rnacentral:rRNA from 1 species
UACAGAGGUCUCAAGCGUUGUUCGGAUUCAUUGGGCGUAAAGGGUGUGUAGGUGGCGCGCUAAGUCGGGUGUGAAAUUUCGGAGCUUAACUCCGAAACUGCAUUCGAUACUGGCGUGCUUGAGGACUGGAGAGGAGACUGGAAUUCAUGGUGUAGCAGUGAAAUGCGUAGAUAUCGUGAGGAAGACCAGUGGCGAAGGCGGAUCUCUGGACGAGUUCCU